CAUGGCUGAAGGACCUCUGUGAUGCUGUGGAGGAGGCGGGGCUGAGCUUGAGCAGACAUGUCCCUCCAGUAAGAAGACCGAUCGUCUUUGAUGCUUGAAAUGGAGAUUUAACAAAAAUUUCAUUGCUACCUUCAAACCGAGAGAGAACCCCAUAGUAAAGGAGCUGUCAUCCUGACGUGACAAUUGUAAAGAAAAACAACGUGAGCGCGGCGAAAACAAAGAGAAAUGAUUUUCCUUCAUUUUUCCAGAAUAAAACAUUUUAGUGAAAGAAGUGCAAAUUUUACCCAACGGCACAAUAAAUCAGAAGAAACAACUUUGAUAUUUGUGUACGGACGGUGAAUAUUUAUUCUGUCCGAGUGAAAAGGUUUGAAAUCAUAUCUUGUGAUGUAAAUUUAAGAGUGGUUUUGGGUUUUCUUCUGUCCUGUAAUUUAAAUGCUAAUGGACCCUUUCUCGAAUA